rnacentral:rRNA from 1 species
UACAGAGGGUGCAAGCGUUGUUCGGAAUUAUUGGGCGUAAAGGGAGUGUAGGCGGUUGCCUAAGUCUGGUGUGAAAUCUACGAGCUUAGCUUGUAAAGUGCAGCGGAAACUGGGUGACUUGAGUGUCGGAGAGGAUAGGGGAAUACCCGGUGUAGAGGUGAAAUUCGUAGAGAUCGGGUGGAACACCAGUGGCGAAGGCGCCUAUCUGGCUGACAACUGACGCUGAGACUCGAAAGCAUGGGGAGCAAACAGG